GCGUCUGUAGCUCAGCUGGAUAGAGCAAUGCCCUUCUAAGGCAUCGGUCACACGUUCGAAUCGUGUCAGGCGUACCA
rnacentral:tRNA from 7 species